ensembl:snRNA U6 U6 spliceosomal RNA
GUGUUCACUUAAGACAGCACAUAUACUAAAAUUGGAACAACACAGAGAUUAGUGUGGCCCCUGUGCGAAGAUAAUACACAAAUUCAUGAAGCAUUCCAUAUAUAU